UUCUUGAGAUAGCUUAACAUGCAGGUAAAACGUUAAAGUCCCCUUGUGACCUUGAAAUGAAGGUCAAGGUCACCAAGCCUGACUUGAACCUUUCUUAUACUGUGAUGAACCUAGGUGGGGGCAAU